rnacentral:lncRNA from 1 species
UUUUUUUUUGUCAAUCGUAGGCACAAAAACAUGAUUUUAUCGGUUGCUCGUACUAAGUUUCAAGAUUUGAAAAUUAACAUUUAGUUUUAAAAUUCAUCAAAAUGCAUUCAAAAUGGAUCUUAUAUAAGAGCCCCCGUCAUCAGAAACACGAAUAUGAAACAAAUUAAAUUUGGAUUUUUAUUUGAAAGAUAUGAAAUAUUAAAAAUCGAAAGUCAAAAUAAAAAGCACGCGCAACGAACUUGGUGGGUGCCCCAAAUCCUCUCCUCAACUUGAAUCAGGUCCCAGAUUCACAGAUAGAUAUUGAGCAACGCCGGCGUGGAAUGAAAGGUUUGGGUCACAGCUGUCGAUAUAUGUACGUACACCUAUAGUAGUACGUAUUAAAUACGUAUACGCGUGAUGCCUUGCGGCGCAUCUAUCUAAUAAGAAUCUACGAAGAGAUCUAUCUCUACGUAGUCGUACGCACAUCGCUCUCCAACUCCAUUGCCGUCUCCAUCUCAAUCAAAUCAAGGGUGGUAUAGCCAGAGUAGCCGCGCGCGCGACGCUUGCACCAAGCAACAUUCAACACAAAGGAAGCUCUAGAUAUGCUGACGCCGGUACUUGCCUGCAGCAAGUCGUAGGCCUCAUCAGAAGCAUGCAUCAAUCCCUGCCAUGUUGCGCAAAACCUGCCCUGGAAACCAGGGAUCUGGCCGUUCCAGCCUAGCUUACACGUCCGAGGAAGCUAUAUAUACACAGCUGUAGGCUUUGUAGCUCUUGGUCGCAGCCUAUAUAUCUUCGUCUCAAGGCUCUAUCUAUGGAGUACAUCGCAGCAGAUCGUAAUCUUUUUUCACCAAGGGAAACCCCCGAUUUGCACUAACGAAACCGCAGGUCUGACACCACCAUGCAUGCAGCGUCGAUCUAGGAGUAUACCUGUAUUUCUGAACUGAACGAACGAAACGGCCGAUUCGAAUGACAAAGAUUUCACGUCAAGUUUGCAGAGAAGAAGCGCAAGCGCAAUCAAUCCGAUCCCUCUAUCUCAUUCCGCGCAUUUUAGCACUACGGAAGCUCGCGACGGGCACGCACUGACAGCCGUAGCUUUCGAGUGGGAUCCACGCAUGCCUCAACUACUUUAUGUUUAUGGUGAAAAAAAAAAGUCACGAUCGACGCACUCGUGCCAAUGUAGCAAAUGGCCUAUCCAGCUAGCUAGCUACCCCCUCAAUUACAAGCUCCUGUUUGGAUCAGUUUUGGUAGCCUUUGCUUUUCAGGGACGCCAGCCCACCCACCAAAAACACGAGCCGCCCAGACGCACGCAUCGGCAUCGACCACCCAGUUCUUGAUCGAUCAUCUUCCCAGUGUAUCUGUGGGCGAUCUAGCUAGUCUUUCCCCUGUUUGCUUGUUCAUCCGGGUCUCCUCGACCUUUUGCGUGGAUUGGGGGCACGACUGAAAGAUAGCGCGAAACCGGCAACGCGGACACGAUCGGCGCAGACAGGCCUGCCGGCCGGGGGAUCAAAUCGAUCGAUGGAUGACGAUCUGCAAAGGAAUAUUGGCUGGCUGGCGUUUUUGGUGGCGUGGGCGUGGAUUUAUGGCGCCAUGGCCAAUACGGGAGCGGGACGGCAGCAGAAUGCAGAUCUAGGCAAAGAUACGCGCAUACGGAGUAUGCCGUAAAGGAUAGCCAGGGGAAUGUGUUGCUUUCGCGUUUCCCGUUCUGGGCCUGGCCUCAUCGGUGCAGCUGAACCGAGAGCUUUUUCCUUGUUUGUCUUGGCCGCGUCGCUGCCGGCGUCGACUGUGCGUUGCUCAUGUGCGCGCGCUCGACCACUGGUCCUCCAUACGGGCCAUGUCUGGCCCCAACCAUCAAGUGCUGUGCUGCUGACCGUAUGGUACGUGCGUGCGUGGACAUCAUUUUGAGCUGAAGAUCCGUUGAAAGAGGGUACCCGGAGCUGAAGAUCCUUUGCUGGUUGACGCACGGUUCCGCCUACAUUUUUGCGGUGUGCGCAAGCCGGCCGCGGGAAGAAGAAGUGGUCAUUGGUCAAGUCAGGCAGGCUGCUGCACUACCACUACGUGCGUACGUGCGUGCGUUCUGCCGACGGAGAAAGGCUCCCUCCCGACGGCGGCCUGGCGUGCACCGCAUUUUCGGGCGCCCGCCAUACGGCCAAAAUUGGCGCGCGACGCCUAGUACGUGCGUGUCAGCGCACGAUCGGUACUAGCACCGAGUACUGCCAGUACGCUUAAAUUUUUGCGCACCACCAAUGGCGACGAUCUGUCCACGCACGUACCCUAGGCACGGCGAGGUCCUGCGGCUGCCGCUAGUGGGAGAGCCCUAGGGGCCCGGGAUGUGUCAGGAGUUUAUGGCGUGCCGGGCGGCCGGGAGCCAGCGGUCUGGGAGGGAAUUCCGCGCCUCAUCGUAUCCCGAAGCGAAGCGAGCCCUAGCCCUAGAGCCCUGCCCUAGGCGCCGGACGUGGAUGCCUGCGUAAUCCACGUGCAUGCAUCGAUCCCCCUCUGUUUCUCGGCUUCUCUCUCGGCGCGGACGGUGAAGCUCCGUGAACGACAGAGAGAGAGGGGGGGCCAUUCGUCGGUCGACACGUCGCGCUAGGAUCCCGUCGUGUCUUGCUCUUGUUACCUAGUAGGAUGCAUGUGUCUGCUCCUUUCCCCCUCCGGCCAGUGGUGAAUGAAUGAGUGCGUACGGGAUCCUAGUAGAAUCAGAAAAAGCCCCGCGCCAGCAUUCUGAGCGUGGCCUCAAAAGCAUCCAAACUUUCAAGACUGAAAAUGUCAAGGUUGUAAUGGCUAGUGUUGUUUCGCCGCAGAAUGGUUUGGUUACGACUAUUCUGCACUUUAAUUCAGUUUAUUUAUAAACGGAAGCCACCUCAGGGCAAGCAGGGUACAGACUGGUUUAACUGUGCACAUCUUAGAGCUAGUGAAGCAUAAACACAACCGAGAGCAACGGGCAGCGUGCGAUAAUGAACAAUCUUCAGCAGCAGGAGAUCGCAGUAGGUCAGGUAGAUUGCAUUCAGGUUUGCCUUUGAUCUCUGCUUGAGGAAGGAUCCCAGUGCCGCCUCCGAUUGAUCUACUUCAAUCGAAAUAAUUACUAAAUCUUACACUAGUUCAUACUUGUUCAUGUAUACUCUAGAACAGCGCAAGUUUUGUAAAAUGUAUGUGUAAGUUUUGUCAUCCUUUGUUUUAAAUUUUCUUUCUUCACUUUCUUUCCUCUUAUAAGAUAAUAACAAUGCCUUUACUUCAUUUAUAUUAGCAUAACAUCCUUUUUGUUUUCAUCUAAAUUAAUGGUGUUGCUUUACAUUUGGGUAUAUCUAAGUUGCAUGUUUUAAAUUUGGGAUAAGUCAAUUUUCGGACUGUUGAUUCUUUCGUCAAGAUUCGUGCUGUCUUUUUUCCUCUGGUGCCCUUCAGGGCUUCUUGAGCUGAAUUUUUGACUUGACCUUGUUCGCCUAUUUUUCUUAUUGGGCUUGAAGGCCGCACUUGUUGGCUGCUUUUCUCUGUCUCCUGCAUUUCUGUUUGUGUUUGUUCUAUUUCUUUUUUUAGUCUUUUUUUCCUUUCUAGGUAUUUUUGGUAUUAUAGAUGAGUGUAAAUGCACUCACACAAGGAGUAUAUAAUAUAUGCGUACAAAUUAUACCAGAGUGUGAAAAUUAAGCUAUUAUAUGCUAAUUAUUUGCAUAUUACAAAAAAGUGUAAUUUCAUCCCAAAGUUGUGAGCAGGUUUUUUUAGGUUUUUUAUUUCCUUUCUUCUUUUAGGAUAAUACCAAUGUCACUAAUACAUUCUUCCUAAAAAAUAUUUUUCCUUUCUUUUCUUUCUUCUUUAAGGGUAAUACCAAUGUCACUAAUUCAUUCCUUCUUAGAAUAUUUGUUUCACAAACAAAAUCAAUUAUUAAGUGCUUAUUUAUGAAAAGUAUUAAGAAGGGACAUUUAUGUGUAAUUAUGUACAAAUUUAUUCAUUAUUUGUUUCAUUUUUCAUUUUAUUUCUUCUUAAAAGGUACGAAUCCUACUCUUUCAUUGUUUCUUCCUUAGAAAACGUCUUUUUAUUUUUAUUUUUGUUUGUAGGUAUGCACACACGUAUUAUACAAUAUGUAUGUAAAUUACUAGAGUGCAAAAAUUGGACACAGAUUUGGUGACCAUAGUUCCACGCGCACCUCUUAUGACUAGAAAAUUCAAAAAAAUACUAGAAAAAAAUACAACUAAACAUAUAAAUUUUUGUAACAUGCAUAGUCCAUUGGUAUACUCACGUAUGAGGUUAAGAAACUACAUAUGUGGUAUUUCGGGAAAAAUGGCAAAAUUGAAGCUAUAUUAAAAGUCAAUGUUUCAUGAAUAGUAAGGCCCUAGUGUAUUUUCUUCACUAAAAAUAGCAUGGGUGCCAUUUCUACACGAAACUUCACUUAUGAGUAGAAUGGUCAACCAAGUUUGAUACCCAAAAAUUCAGAAUUUUUUAAUCCCUUCAAUAUUUUUUAAAAUUUUAUUAUUCAUGUAGGUGUGUGUUCACCUUUGUAUUUUUGGCAAAAAUUAUGGUAUUAUAUGCUUAUUACUUUUAUUUCAUUUUCUGUCUAAUUUUAAAGAUAAUACCAAUUCUAGUAAUCCAUUUAUUCUUACAAAAUUUUAUUUGUAAAAAUUUCACUAUUAUAUGCUUAUUCUUGGAUAUCAUAAAAAACAAAAAUUCUGAGUAAACUGUAUGUAAUUUUUGCCAUUGUUUGUAUAAUAUUUUUUCUCCAUUUCCUUUCUUCUUAAAGGAUAAUAUUAAUGCCACUAAUUUAUUCUUCCGUAGAAACUUAAAUUUUUUCAUUAUUUUUUUGUUUAUUUAUUUUCAUCUUUGUCUUGAACCUUACUAGUAUCGGAUUAGUUUCUAUUGUGUUUCAGGCAAAGCUUUGUGGUUGCAACGGGUCGAGAGUUCCUCUAGAAAACCGACUGGCCAAAUUGGUACAAGUUGAUUUUGAUUCUAUUGCACUGAAAAAAAAUCAGCUUGCCCAAAUUGCUUUUUAAGCGACUUUUCCCAAGCUGAUCCCUUUAUUUUAGUAUGUCUUUAUUUACUGAGAAAAAUGAAACACGAAACUAUGUUUGUUUUUCUUGCGUGUGCUAAUAUUUUUUGUUCCUUUUUAUCGUUGUUGCUUAGAUGUUUUUUCGCCAUUGAAUUUUCUCCCAUAUUUUAUGCAUGUGGUAACGGUUUGAUGCUGCAACUUUCCUGUUUCCAAUUUACAAUCAAGUUUAUUUUUAACCGGUUUAUUUAGAUCAUAAUUUUUAUAAAAGAUGCAUUAGUUUAGAUUCGUUCUUGCAAACAAUAUAUUGUGUGCUAUUUUGGAUUGAAUCUGAAGUACAAUGUGUCCCUUUUUUCUGUUCUCUUCCACAUGUUCUUUGCAUCAUCAUCAUGUAACAAAGCACAUUUCGACCGGGACCGCAUGCUUGGUUUCUUCUUUCUGAUCAAUUCGUUUAUUGGCGAUAUAAGAAAUAGUCGGUUGCUGAAUGAAGUGAUGAAUGAACAAAACAGAGCAUUCCGCCAAAAAAAAAAGGGCAGAAUAGAGCUGGGCUACAAGCGGUCCACACCGGGAAUGUAUCCGCUACACCCACUCUUGCGAUGCUAUCGGUGCAUCUGAUGACCUAGAGCAUUUUCAAAAAUCUAAGAAAAAAUCUAGCAAAUUGACACAACAUCAAUGUCUUCACAAAAUUUCAAAUCAAAAUUUGCAACAUUUAUUGAGAUACAAAAUGGACAAAUUUGGCAUCAAUGUGAUAAUGGGCCUCAACUUAUGUUAUGUACGAUUCAAUGUUGAAUUUAUCAUUUUUGUUUUUCAAGCUAUGCUUUGAAUUUUGACUUUAAAUUUUGUGGCGACUUGCAUUAAUAUUGUGUGAAUGGGCUAAAUUUAUAUUAAAAAAUUUAAACAUUUCAAAUGUCUAACGUGAGUUUAAUGCACCGGCAGCACCACACGCACCGAUAGCCCCACACGCACCUGAUAUUUUUCCGGUCCACAUAAACUCAUGCAUGAGUGGUUCGUAGGGCAGGGAGAGAAGCUUCUCGUCCUGUUAUAAAAAGUGACUGAACGUAAAAAUAUACUGAUAUAUUACCCUAUCCCGUGUAUUUUCCACUCACUUAUGAUUUUAGUAUACUACGAGCAUGCUUGGAUACGUUUUAGUCCCAUGACUAAAAGUAGUGGGACUAAAACUUGCUAGUCUCACCCAUGCUUGGAUCCAAAUACUAAAGAGACUAAAAUCUAGUUAUUGAGCAUUUAUUAUCCUCCAAACCCUCCAAUCCAGAACUAAGGAGAGGAAUUAAAUGAGGAGAGAGAGAGCUAAUACAUAUUUUAGUUUCCCAUGACUAAAAGAUUUUAGCCUCAAGACUAGUCCUAGCCUCUCUUUAGUCAGGAGUGCUUGGAACUUUAGCCUCUAAAAGAGACUAUUUUUAGUCAGACUAAAAAUAGUCCCUUGUAUCCAAGCACCCUCUACUUUACCCACAGGAUAAUCUCACGGAGCUCCAACGUGACAUAAUGCCGCGUUAUUAGCUACUCCUAUACACUAAUGCUUGCCACCAGCUAGCUAUAUCGUCCGUGCUGACCGAUUAACUACAAAGCAGAGCAGUACAAACAAGCGAC